UGACUGUGGAGUACGACCGACUGCUGGACGAACACAGCAAACUGCUGGCAACAAGCGACAAGAAGUCAGACUGAGAAGGAUUUCCAGCUUCUUCCCUCGUCUUCAAAGAACAGCCUGCUGCUUCUGCCUCAGUGAUGUCACUUCCUUAUUUGGACGACGGCUCGCUGUGAUUGGUUUAUUUCAUCUUGGUUAAAAAACAUAUAUAUCUCAUCUGACUGUCAAAAAAAAAAAAGUGGGCUGUCUGUGAAACUUUCAGACGAGGUUUUCUGUUUGUUUGUUUGUUUGUUUGUUUGUUUGUUUGAGGAACAUCUGAUCAUUCCCUGUUUCCUGCCGCUCGAGAGAAACUAAAAAAACAACCUGAAUUUCAUAAUGUUCUGCUUUUUCUUUUGUUGCAAGAAACCGAAUAUUCCCAAAAAUUUGAGGUCCAAAGAAUUCAAUACACCCGCUCUCCUGUAUUGAUAACGAAAAUAUUGCACAUUUAAGGAUUCAAAUUGAACGUGGCCAAACACAAUCCUUCAGAAAUGACCUUUAACUUUAAUGUUUUAUUUGUUAAGUGGAUUUCGGGUUGUGGAUUUACCCCGAAAACAAUGAAAACUGUUGAAUGUACUGUUGAAACUUGGAUCUACAGUCUGUGACUCACGAGCCAAACAAAAACACCCGAGUCUCUUCUUUAAAAUAAUGCCCAAAUCCUUAUUAUGAUGAUUUCUACACUGGUUAUCUUUAAUAUCCUGAAGUUUCUACUCUCACCUAGAGACAUAUUUCCAACGCAAACGGUCAAAUAAAGGAUAAACAAAUGACCAGAUGUUUGUUUUGCUCGUACAAAGUGAUGCGUAUUUUUUCUUUGUGGUAAUAAACUCGGUUGGUUUGAAGAUUUGUUUAUAGGUUUGUCAUUAAGUUAAUCGGUUUGCAGUUAUUUCU